GAGGGUAUAGCUCAGUGGUAAAGCCCAUGCUUAGGAUGCACAAAGGUCCUGGGUUCAAUCCCCAGUACCUCCA
rnacentral:tRNA from 1 species